rnacentral:lncRNA from 1 species
AUUUACCUGUACAUCAUACAUAAGCUGAACACAGUUAAGUGGCACAAGUUGGUCGCCGAAAAUUAUUUACCCGUAUUUGACCGAGGAAGUCAGAGAAAGGGAUCACUUGAAAAACUGGAGGUGUGGCCGUUCUCACUGCGGGAGAAGGGACCGAGAGACGCCGCCGGGGCUGUGGGUCCUUCUCCCGAGGGACCCCGCCCCCCCCCGGCCCCCCUCCCGCGAGCCGCUCCUCCUCCCCCCACCGGGUGUGUCUCGGCGCCGCGGCGGCUCCGGCGCUCUCGGGGCGGACCCCCUCCCCCCUCCUCCCUCCCGCCUCCCCCCUCCCCCGCCGCCCCCCGCGGGGCUCGGGGAGCGGGGUCCCAGCACCGGGGACGCACCGCGGCGGCUGCGCCCGCCCUCCCCGCACCCGCACCCGCACCCGCACCCGCACCUGCGCCGUCGCGGUCCCCCCGGGGGCGCGCGGAGGGGCUGGGGCGCGCGGAGCCCAAGGGGGGCCCUCACCUCGGGGCGCAGCGUGUCCCCCUCCCCGGCUGGAGCGGCCGUUCGGCCCCGGAAGGAGGGGAGGAGGCCGGAGGUGCCCCCGCCGCGCGCCGCGGCCCCGGCCCCGGCCCGUCUGAUAAAGAGGAAGGAAGCGCGCGGCGAGCGGAGCUGACGGCCUCCCGCGGGCCGGGCUGGGGCCGCCACCGCCACCGCCACCGCCGCUCGCCUCCGCGGAGCCACCGGGGGGAGCCUGCGCCCCCUGCUGCCCGGGUCAGAGCGGCGCCCCCAGCAAGGGCGAGGUCCCGGCUUCCUGCGGCGCCAGGCGCUGCGCCCUCCCGGGGGGCCGGGGCGCUGCCUUCUGCUGCUCGCCAGACCCGCCCCGCUCGCUCCCGCGGAGCUGUGCCGACCUGGCAACCCAGGGACGACGUGGCCGGCAGGGGCCGGGCGGCCAAGUGCGAGGUCCGCCCCGGCAGAAGCGGAGAACACUUGUGCAGGCUGCACAGCACAACCCGCACAGUGCUCCACCCCGCGGGCUCUAACUUACUCGGGCGCCGUCACUUACUAGCUGUGACCCGGAGCAACUUUCUUAACCUCCGUGUACAUCAACUUCAUCUGUAA